rnacentral:rRNA from 1 species
CCUACGGGAGGCAGCAGUGAGGAAUAUUGGUCAAUGGGAGAGAUCCUGAACCAGCCAAGCCGCGUGAGGGAAGACGGCCCUAUGGGUUGUAAACCUCUUUUGUCGGAGAACAAAACCCGGGACGUGUCCCGGACUGCGUGUAUCCGAAGAAAAAGCAUCGGCUAACUCCGUGCCAGCAGCCGCGGUAAUACGGAGGAUGCGAGCGUUAUCCGGAUUUAUUGGGUUUAAAGGGAGCGUAGGCCGGCUUUUAAGUCAGCUGUGAAAGUCCGCGGCUCAACCGUGGAAUUGCAGUUGAAACUGGAGGC